rnacentral:lncRNA from 1 species
CUAAUAAAGAUAGUACCAUACGUGCACGCACACACACACACACACUUAUAUGUUAGGAUUAUUUUACAAAGUGUUUUGGUAUCUGUUUAUUUCUAUAGAAAUGGAUCUAGAACACUUGAAGGAUACUGUUGGAAGGCAUAUAUUGAUGACAGAAAUGAGGAUACAACCAAAGAGUCUCCCUGACACAAAUACAGAGCCCUACCCAGAUGUUACUGGAAGAAGGAUACUAAAGGGUGAAAUGAAGACACAAUCCAAGAGGCCUCCUGAGACUGAUACAGAACACAGAACAGAUAAUGGCAGAAGAGCAAAAAUAAGUGGUAAAAUCAAGGCACAUCUUAAGAGUCAACCUGAUGCUGAUAUACAGCUCUUCCCAGAUGCUAUUGGAAGAGGUUUUAUGAAGGAUGAAUUCAAGAUACAACCCAUGAGUCAUCCCAAUAAGAAUAAGAAUAUUUCAGGGACUAAUGUAGAAGGCUCGAGAGAUAAAACUAUAAGAGGUGUACAAAAGGGACAAUUCAAGACGCAAUCGAUGAAUCUCCCUGACCCUGAUACAGACAGGCUCCCAGAUACUAUUGGAAUAGGUAUACUA